GGGUUGUGAGGUUAAGCGACUAAGCGUACACGGUGGAUGCCCUGGCAGUCAGAGGCGAUGAAGGACGUGCUAAUCUGCGAUAAGCGUCGGUAAGGUGAUAUGAACCGUUAUAACCGGCGAUUUCCGAAUGGGGAAACCCAGUGUGUUUCGACACACUAUCAUUAACUGAAUCCAUAGGUUAAUGAGGCGAACCGGGGGAACUGAAACAUCUAAGUACCCCGAGGAAAAGAAAUCAACCGAGAUUCCCCCAGUAGCGGCGAGCGAACGGGGAGCAGCCCAGAGCCUGAAUCAGUAUGUGUGUUAGUGGAAGCGUCUGGAAAGGCGCGCGAUACAGGGUGACAGCCCCGUACACAAAAAUGCACAUAUUGUGAGCUCGAUGAGUAGGGCGGGACACGUGGUAUCCUGUCUGAAUAUGGGGGGACCAUCCUCCAAGGCUAAAUACUCCUGACUGACCGAUAGUGAACCAGUACCGUGAGGGAAAGGCGAAAAGAACCCCGGCGAGGGGAGUGAAAAAGAACCUGAAACCGUGUACGUACAAGCAGUGGGAGCACGCUUAGGCGUGUGACUGCGUACCUUUUGUAUAAUGGGUCAGCGACUUAUAUUCUGUAGCAAGGUUAACCGAAUAGGGGAGCCGAAGGGAAACCGAGUCUUAACUGGGCGUUAAGUUGCAGGGUAUAGACCCGAAACCCGGUGAUCUAGCCAUGGGCAGGUUGAAGGUUGGGUAACACUAACUGGAGGACCGAACCGACUAAUGUUGAAAAAUUAGCGGAUGACUUGUGGCUGGGGGUGAAAGGCCAAUCAAACCGGGAGAUAGCUGGUUCUCCCCGAAAGCUAUUUAGGUAGCGCCUCGUGAAUUCAUCUCCGGGGGUAGAGCACUGUUUCGGCAAGGGGGUCAUCCCGACUUACCAACCCGAUGCAAACUGCGAAUACCGGAGAAUGUUAUCACGGGAGACACACGGCGGGUGCUAACGUCCGUCGUGAAGAGGGAAACAACCCAGACCGCCAGCUAAGGUCCCAAAGUCAUGGUUAAGUGGGAAACGAUGUGGGAAGGCCCAGACAGCCAGGAUGUUGGCUUAGAAGCAGCCAUCAUUUAAAGAAAGCGUAAUAGCUCACUGGUCGAGUCGGCCUGCGCGGAAGAUGUAACGGGGCUAAACCAUGCACCGAAGCUGCGGCAGCGACACUAUGUGUUGUUGGGUAGGGGAGCGUUCUGUAAGCCUGUGAAGGUGUGCUGUGAGGCAUGCUGGAGGUAUCAGAAGUGCGAAUGCUGACAUAAGUAACGAUAAAGCGGGUGAAAAGCCCGCUCGCCGGAAGACCAAGGGUUCCUGUCCAACGUUAAUCGGGGCAGGGUGAGUCGACCCCUAAGGCGAGGCCGAAAGGCGUAGUCGAUGGGAAACAGGUUAAUAUUCCUGUACUUGGUGUUACUGCGAAGGGGGGACGGAGAAGGCUAUGUUGGCCGGGCGACGGUUGUCCCGGUUUAAGCGUGUAGGCUGGUUUUCCAGGCAAAUCCGGAAAAUCAAGGCUGAGGCGUGAUGACGAGGCACUACGGUGCUGAAGCAACAAAUGCCCUGCUUCCAGGAAAAGCCUCUAAGCAUCAGGUAACAUCAAAUCGUACCCCAAACCGACACAGGUGGUCAGGUAGAGAAUACCAAGGCGCUUGAGAGAACUCGGGUGAAGGAACUAGGCAAAAUGGUGCCGUAACUUCGGGAGAAGGCACGCUGAUAUGUAGGUGAAGUCCCUCGCGGAUGGAGCUGAAAUCAGUCGAAGAUACCAGCUGGCUGCAACUGUUUAUUAAAAACACAGCACUGUGCAAACACGAAAGUGGACGUAUACGGUGUGACGCCUGCCCGGUGCCGGAAGGUUAAUUGAUGGGGUUAGCCGCAAGGCGAAGCUCUUGAUCGAAGCCCCGGUAAACGGCGGCCGUAACUAUAACGGUCCUAAGGUAGCGAAAUUCCUUGUCGGGUAAGUUCCGACCUGCACGAAUGGCGUAAUGAUGGCCAGGCUGUCUCCACCCGAGACUCAGUGAAAUUGAACUCGCUGUGAAGAUGCAGUGUACCCGCGGCAAGACGGAAAGACCCCGUGAACCUUUACUAUAGCUUGACACUGAACAUUGAGCCUUGAUGUGUAGGAUAGGUGGGAGGCUUAGAAGUGUGGACGCCAGUCUGCAUGGAGCCGACCUUGAAAUACCACCCUUUAAUGUUUGAUGUUCUAACGUUGACCCGUAAUCCGGGUUGCGGACAGUGUCUGGUGGGUAGUUUGACUGGGGCGGUCUCCUCCUAAAGAGUAACGGAGGAGCACGAAGGUUGGCUAAUCCUGGUCGGACAUCAGGAGGUUAGUGCAAUGGCAUAAGCCAGCUUGACUGCGAGCGUGACGGCGCGAGCAGGUGCGAAAGCAGGUCAUAGUGAUCCGGUGGUUCUGAAUGGAAGGGCCAUCGCUCAACGGAUAAAAGGUACUCCGGGGAUAACAGGCUGAUACCGCCCAAGAGUUCAUAUCGACGGCGGUGUUUGGCACCUCGAUGUCGGCUCAUCACAUCCUGGGGCUGAAGUAGGUCCCAAGGGUAUGGCUGUUCGCCAUUUAAAGUGGUACGCGAGCUGGGUUUAGAACGUCGUGAGACAGUUCGGUCCCUAUCUGCCGUGGGCGCUGGAGAACUGAGGGGGGCUGCUCCUAGUACGAGAGGACCGGAGUGGACGCAUCACUGGUGUUCGGGUUGUCAUGCCAAUGGCA
rnacentral:rRNA from 1 species